UGAAAAGGAUGCUCUUUCCAUACAGAGCACCAUUCAUCAGAAGAUACAAAAUAACAGCUGAAGAAAGAGGGAAAUGAAAACUAAUAGCACAUUGCCUUGAAGGAAGUCACACUCUCUCAAGUCACCUAUCACUUCCAUACUCAGAUGAGGACCCUGAGAGUCUAAAACUGCGUUGUCCAGCAGCAUCCAGAAAUAUGAAUUCUUUCUUCGCCACACCGUUCAAACUGCUCUUACAAAGGUAACCGCUGACCUCCUAACUCCUUAGCCAUCAGACUUACCCAUGGAAGGCUGGGUGUCAUUUUGAUGUUCACACCUUCAAAAAUGUUUCUCCUCCUUUUUGAAACUAUGAUAACACUUGCAUUUGACUUUCCUUUGAAAUUUUUCUUCAAACUUUGUAUAUUUUCUUCUCUGCUGAUUUUGGUUCCUUAUCUAGAUUCCUGUCUU